AAAACAGUACAGCCGCAUGGUUUGACACGUGGCGCCUAGGUGCUGGCUAGAUUUUUUAAAUUUUUUUUAAAAUAGUAUAGCCGAGCGGCUAUACUCGCUUUUAACCCCUUUUUUUUUUUGAAAAAAAAAAAUGUUCAGAACUGUACAGCCGCAAGGUUUGACACGUGGCGCCUAGGUGCUGGCUGGAUCCCUAUUAUGUAUAUAAAUAGUACAGCCGCCCGGCUAUAAUAGAUUUUAAAAUUUUUUUUUUUGAAAUAGUAUAGCCGCGCGGCUAUACUCGGUUUUAACCCCUUUUUUUGUUUUUUUAAAAAUGUUCAGAACAGUACGGCCGCAUGGUUUGACACGUGGCGCCUAGGUGCUGGCUGGAUCCCUAUUAUGUAUAUAAAUAGUAUAGCCGCCCGGCUAUACUAGAUUUUCUUAAUUUUUUUUUAAAUAGUAUAGCCGCGCGGCUGUACCCUGCUAACCUAGCGAAUUUUGAAAAUAUAAAAUCAGUUUCUUUACUUUUGAUUUUUGUUGCCAACUUCUUUAAUUUCAUAUAUGUAAUUAAUUUAUAUCUUAGCCUUUUUGAAUUACUUGAAUUAGUAAGUACUUGAAGUUCAAUUUUUUAAAAUAUAUUUGAAGCCCUUGAAUUACUUUAAUUAAGGUCUUGAAGGGCUUAAUGAAUACAUUUAGAGACCUCGAAGGUUACGUAUUAUACAUGUACGUACGUGUUUUUCAUGUUUAACACACGUAUACACGCACAUAUUAUGGAAUAAAAAUAAUAUAUAUUUAAAAAAUACAGUAUAGUGACCGAAUUUUUGGGUUGUAAUGUGCCAAGAUAUUGCCGAAUCAAACACAUACGUAUUUAAUUCGCAUUUUUUUCCCUUCCGUAUUUUACUAACUAUGAAUGAAUGUGAGAGCUCACUUGUUCUAACAAAAAUGCAAGAUAUAUAUUAAGUAAUAUCAUUUAUGAAGUUAAUUAAAAUAUUUAAUAUCAAUUAUUCACUAGAUAAAUAAUAGGUAGGACCUAAUUCAUAAUUCAAGUAAUUAAAUCAGGCUAAGAGAUUGUUUAAUUACUAAAAAUAACCUUUUUUUUUUCUUAAAAAACAUUAUUGACCCUUUUUAAAAUAUAAAAAUAGUAUAGCCGCACGGCUAUACGCGCUUUAAACCCUUUUUUUUCCAGAUUUUAAAAACAGUACAGCCGCAUGGUUUGACACGUGGCGCCUAGGUGCUGGCUAGAUUUUUUAAAUUUUUUUUAAAAUAGUAUAGCCGAGCGGCUAUACUCGCUUUUAACCCCUUUUUUUUUUUGAAAAAAAAAAUGUUCAGAACUGUACAGCCGCAAGGUUUGACACGUGGCGCCUAGGUGCUGGCUGGAUCCCUAUUAUGUAUAUAAAUAGUACAGCCGCCCGGCUAUAAUAGAUUUUAAAAUUUUUUUUUUUGAAAUAGUAUAGCCGCGCGGCUAUACUCGGUUUUAACCCCUUUUUUUGUUUUUUUUAAAAUGUUCAGAACAGUACGGCCGCAUGGUUUGACACGUGGCGCCUAGGUGCUGGCUGGAUCCCUAUUAUGUAUAUAAAUAGUAUAGCCGCCCGGCUAUACUAGAUUUUCUUAAUUUUUUUUUAAAUAGUAUAGCCGCGCGGCUGUACCCUGCUAACCUAGCGAAUUUUGAAAAUAUAAAAUCAGUUUCUUUACUUUUGAUUUUUGUUGCCAACUUCUUUAAUUUCAUAUAUGUAAUUAAUUUAUAUCUUAGCCUUUUUGAAUUACUUGAAUUAGUAAGUACUUGAAGUUCAAUUUUUUUAAAUAUAUUUGAAGCCCUUGAAUUACUUUAAUUAAGGUCUUGAAGGGCUUAAUGAAUACAUUUAGAGACCUCGAAGGUUACGUAUUAUACAUGUACGUACGUGUUUUUCAUGUUUAACACACGUAUACACGCACAUAUUAUGGAAUAAAAAUAAUAUAUAUUUAAAAAAUACAGUAUAGUGACCGAAUUUUUGGGUUGUAAUGUGCCAAGAUAUUGCCGAAUCAAACACAUACGUAUUUAAUUCGCAUUUUUUUCCCUUCCGUAUUUUACUAACUAUGAAUGAAUGUGAGAGCUCACUUGUUCUAACAAAAAUGCAAGAUAUAUAUUAAGUAAUAUCAUUUAUGAAGUUAAUUAAAAUAUUUAAUAUCAAUUAUUCACUAGAUAAAUAAUAGGUAGGACCUAAUUCAUAAUUCAAGUAAUUAAAUCAGGCUAAGAGAUUGUUUAAUUACUAAAAAUAACCUUUUUUUUUUCUUAAAAAACAUUAUUGACCCUUUUUAAAAUAUAAAAAUAGUAUAGCCGCACGGCUAUACGCGCUUUAAACCCUUUUUUUUCCAGAUUUUAAAAACAGUACAGCCGCAUGGUUUGACACGUGGCGCCUAGGUGCUGGCUAGAUUUUUUAAAUUUUUUUUAAAAUAGUAUAGCCGAGCGGCUAUACUCGCUUUUAACCCCUUUUUUUUUUUGAAAAAAAAAAUGUUCAGAACUGUACAGCCGCAAGGUUUGACACGUGGCGCCUAGGUGCUGGCUGGAUCCCUAUUAUGUACAUAAAUAGUACAGCCGCCCGGCUAUAAUAGAUUUUUAAAUUUUUUUUAAAAAUAGUAUAGCCGCGCGGCUAUACUCGCUUUUAAACCCUUUUUUUUUUUUUUUUUUUUUUAUAAAUGUUCAGAACAGUACGGCCGCAUGGUUUGACACGUGGCGCCUAGGUGCUGGCUGGAUCCCUAUUAUGUAUAUAAAUAGUACAGCCGCCCGGCUAUAAUAGAUUUUUAAAUUUUUUUUUUUGAAAUAGUAUAGCCGCGCGGCUAUACUCGGUUUUAACCCCUUUUUUUUGUUUUUUUUAAAAUGUUCAGAACAGUACGGCCGCAUGGUUUGACACGUGGCGCCUAGGUGCUGGCUGGAUCCCUAUUGUGUAUAUAAAUAGUAUAGCCGCCCGGCUAUACUAGAUUUUCUUAAUUUUUUUUUAAAUAGUAUAGCCGCGCGGCUGUACCCUGCUAACCUAGCGAAUUUUGAAAAUAUAAAAUCAGUUUCUUUACUUUUGAUUUUUGUUGCCAACUUCUUUAAUUUCAUAUAUGUAAUUAAUUUAUAUCUUAGCCUUUUUGAAUUACUUGAAUUAGUAAGUACUUGAAGUUCAAUUUUUUUAAAUAUAUUUGAAGCCCUUGAAUUACUUUAAUUAAGGUCUUGAAGGGCUUAAUGAAUACAUUUAGAGACCUCGAAGGUUACGUAUUAUACAUGUACGUACGUGUUUUUCAUGUUUAACACACGUAUACACGCACAUAUUAUGGAAUAAAAAUAAUAUAUAUUUAAAAAAUACAGUAUAGUGACCGAAUUUUUGGGUUGUAAUGUGCCAAGAUAUUGCCGAAUCAAACACAUACGUAUUUAAUUCGCAUUUUUUUCCCUUCCGUAUUUUACUAACUAUGAAUGAAUGUGAGAGCUCACUUGUUCUAACAAAAAUGCAAGAUAUAUAUUAAGUAAUAUCAUUUAUGAAGUUAAUUAAAAUAUUUAAUAUCAAUUAUUCACUAGAUAAAUAAUAGGUAGGACCUAAUUCAUAAUUCAAGUAAUUAAAUCAGGCUAAGAGAUUGUUUAAUUACUAAAAAUAACCUUUUUUUUUUCUUAAAAAACAUUAUUGACCCUUUUUAAAAUAUAAAAAUAGUAUAGCCGCACGGCUAUACGCGCUUUAAACCCUUUUUUUUCCAGAUUUUAAAAACAGUACAGCCGCAUGGUUUGACACGUGGCGCCUAGGUGCUGGCUAGAUUUUUUAAAUUUUUUUUAAAAUAGUAUAGCCGAGCGGCUAUACUCGCUUUUAACCCCUUUUUUUUUUUGAAAAAAAAAAUGUUCAGAACUGUACAGCCGCAAGGUUUGACACGUGGCGCCUAGGUGCUGGCUGGAUCCCUAUUAUGUACAUAAAUAGUACAGCCGCCCGGCUAUAAUAGAUUUUUAAAUUUUUUUUAAAAAUAGUAUAGCCGCGCGGCUAUACUCGCUUUUAAACCCUUUUUUUUUUUUUUUUUUUUUUAUAAAUGUUCAGAACAGUACGGCCGCAUGGUUUGACACGUGGCGCCUAGGUGCUGGCUGGAUCCCUAUUAUGUAUAUAAAUAGUACAGCCGCCCGGCUAUAAUAGAUUUUUAAAUUUUUUUUUUUGAAAUAGUAUAGCCGCGCGGCUAUACUCGGUUUUAACCCCUUUUUUUUGUUUUUUUUAAAAUGUUCAGAACAGUACGGCCGCAUGGUUUGACACGUGGCGCCUAGGUGCUGGCUGGAUCCCUAUUGUGUAUAUAAAUAGUAUAGCCGCCCGGCUAUACUAGAUUUUCUUAAUUUUUUUUUAAAUAGUAUAGCCGCGCGGCUGUACCCUGCUAACCUAGCGAAUUUUGAAAAUAUAAAAUCAGUUUCUUUACUUUUGAUUUUUGUUGCCAACUUCUUUAAUUUCAUAUAUGUAAUUAAUUUAUAUCUUAGCCUUUUUGAAUUACUUGAAUUAGUAAGUACUUGAAGUUCAAUUUUUUUAAAUAUAUUUGAAGCCCUUGAAUUACUUUAAUUAAGGUCUUGAAGGGCUUAAUGAAUACAUUUAGAGACCUCGAAGGUUACGUAUUAUACAUGUACGUACGUGUUUUUCAUGUUUAACACACGUAUACACGCACAUAUUAUGGAAUAAAAAUAAUAUAUAUUUAAAAAAUACAGUAUAGUGACCGAAUUUUUGGGUUGUAAUGUGCCAAGAUAUUGCCGAAUCAAACACAUACGUAUUUAAUUCGCAUUUUUUUCCCUUCCGUAUUUUACUAACUAUGAAUGAAUGUGAGAGCUCACUUGUUCUAACAAAAAUGCAAGAUAUAUAUUAAGUAAUAUCAUUUAUGAAGUUAAUUAAAAUAUUUAAUAUCAAUUAUUCACUAGAUAAAUAAUAGGUAGGACCUAAUUCAUAAUUCAAGUAAUUAAAUCAGGCUAAGAGAUUGUUUAAUUACUAAAAAUAACCUUUUUUUUUUUCUUAAAAAACAUUAUUGACCCUUUUUAAAAUAUAAAAAUAGUAUAGCCGCACGGCUAUACUCGCUUUAAACCCUUUUUUUUCCAGAUUUUAAAAACAGUACAGCCGCAUGGUUUGACACGUGGCGCCUAGGUGCUGGCUAGAUUUUUUUAAUUUUUUUAAAAAUAGUAUAGCCGAGCGGCUAUACUCGCUUCAAAAAAAAAAUGUUCAGAACUGUACAGCCGCAAGGUUUGACACGUGGCGCCUGGGUGCUGGCUGGAUCCCUAUUAUGUAUAUAAAUAGUACAGCCGCCCGGCUAUAAUAGAUUUUUAAAUUUUUUUUAAAAAUAGUAUAGCCGCGCGGCUAUACUCGCUUUUAAACCCUUUUUUUUUUUUUUUUUUUUUUUUUUAUAAAUGUUCAGAACAGUACGGCCGCAUGGUUUGACACGUCGCGCCUAGGUGCUGGCUGGAUCCCUAUUAUGUAUAUAAAUAGUACAGCCGCCCGGGUAUAAUAGAUUUUUAAAAUUUUUUUUUUGAAAUAGUAUAGCCGCGCGGCUAUACUCGGUUUUAACCCCUUUUUGUUUUUUAAAAAAUGUUCAAAACAGUACGGCCGCAUGGUUUGACACGUGGCGCCCAAGUGCUGGCUGGAUCCCUAUUGUGUAUAUAAAUAGUAUAGCCGCCCGGCUAUACUAGAUUUUCUUAAUUUUUUUUUAAAUAGUAUAGCCGCGCGGCUUUACCCUGCUAACCUAGCGAAUUUUGAAAAUAUAAAAUCAGUUUCUUUACUUUUGAUUUUUGUUGCCAACUUCUUUAAUUUCAUAUAUGUAAUUAAUUUAUAUCUUAGCCUUUUUGAAUUACUUGAAUUAGUAAGUACUUGAAGUUCAAUUUUUUUAAAUAUAUUUGAAGCCCUUGAAUUACUUUAAUUAAGGUCUUGAAGGGCUUAAUGAAUACAUUUAGAGACCUCGAAGGUUACGUAUUAUACAUGUACGUACGUGUUUUUCAUGUUUAACACACGUAUACACGCACAUAUUAUGGAAUAAAAAUAAUAUAUAUUUAAAAAAUACAGUAUAGUGACCGAAUUUUUGGGUUGUAAUGUGCCAAGAUAUUGCCGAAUCAAACACAUACGUAUUUAAUUCGCAUUUUUUUCCCUUCCGUAUUUUACUAACUAUGAAUGAAUGUGAGAGCUCACUUGUUCUAACAAAAAUGCAAGAUAUAUAUUAAGUAAUAUCAUUUAUGAAGUUAAUUAAAAUAUUUAAUAUCAAUUAUUCACUAGAUAAAUAAUAGGUAGGACCUAAUUCAUAAUUCAAGUAAUUAAAUCAGGCUAAGAGAUUGUUUAAUUACUAAAAAUAACCUUUUUUUUUUCUUAAAAAACAUUAUUGACCCUUUUUAAAAUAUAAAAAUAGUAUAGCCGCACGGCUAUACGCGCUUUAAACCCUUUUUUUUCCAGAUUUUAAAAACAGUACAGCCGCAUGGUUUGACACGUGGCGCCUAGGUGCUGGCUAGAUUUUUUAAAUUUUUUUAAAAAUAGUAUAGCCGAGCGGCUAUACUCGCUUUUAACCCUUUUUUUUUUUUUUGAAAAAAAAAAUGUUCAGAACUGUACAGCCGCAAGGUUUGACACGUGGCGCCUAGGUGCUGGCUGGAUCCCUAUUAUGUAUAUAAAUAGUACAGCCGCCCGGCUAUAAUAGAUUUUUAAAUUUUUUUUAAAAAUAGUAUAGCCGCGCGGCUAUACUCGCUUUUAAACCCUUUUUUUUUUUUUUUUUUUUUUUAUAAAUGUUCAGAACAGUACGGCCGCAUGGUUUGACACGUGGCGCCUAGGUGCUGGCUGGAUCCCUAUUAUGUAUAUAAAUAGUACAGCCGCCCGGCUAUAAUAGAUUUUUAAAUUUUUUUUUUGAAAUAGUAUAGCCGCGCGGCUAUACUCGGUUUUAACCCCUUUUUUUUUUAAAAAAAAUGUUCAGAACAGUACGGCCGCAUGGUUUGACACGUGGCGCCUAGGUGCUGGCUGGAUCCCUAUUAUGUAUAUAAAUAGUAUAGCCGCCCGGCUAUACUAGAUUUUCUUAUUUUUUUUUUAAAUAGUAUAGCCGCGCGGCUGUACCCUGCUAACCUAGCGAAUUUUGAAAAUAUAAAAUCAGUUUCUUUACUUUUGAUUUUUGUUGCCAACUUCUUUAAUUUCAUAUAUGUAAUUAAUUUAUAUCUUAGCCUUUUUGAAUUACUUUAAUUAGUAAGUACUUGAAGUUCAAUUUUUUUAAAUAUAUUUGAAGCCCUUGAAUUACUUUAAUUAAGGUCUUGAAGGGCUUAAUGAAUACAUUUAGAGACCUCGAAGGUUACGUAUUAUACAUGUACGUACGUGUUUUUCAUGUUUAACACACGUAUACACGCACAUAUUAUGGAAUAAAAAUAAUAUAUAUUUAAAAAAUACAGUAUAGUGACCGAAUUUUUGGGUUGUAAUGUGCCAAGAUAUUGCCGAAUCAAACACAUACGUAUUUAACUCGCAUUUUUUUCCCUUCCGUAUUUUACUAACUAUGAAUGAAUGUGAGAGCUCACUUGUUCUAACAAAAAUGCAAGAUAUAUAUUAAGUAAUAUCAUUUAUGAAGUUAAUUAAAAUAUUUAAUAUCAAUUAUUCACUAGAUAAAUAAUAGGUAGGACCUAAUUCAUAAUUCAAGUAAUUAAAUCAGGCUAAGAGAUUGUUUAAUUACUAAAAAUAACCUUUUUUUUUUUCUUAAAAAACAUUAUUGACCCUUUUUAAAAUAUAAAAAUAGUAUAGCCGCACGGCUAUACGCGCUUUAAACCCUUUUUUUUCCAGAUUUUAAAAACAGUACAGCCGCAUGGUUUGACACGUGGCGCCUAGGUGCUGGCUAGAUUUUUUAAAUUUUUUUUAAAAUAGUAUAGCCGAGCGGCUAUACUCGCUUUUAACCCCUUUUUUUUUUUGAAAAAAAAAAAUGUUCAGAACUGUACAGCAGCAAGGUUUGACACGUGGCGCCUAGGUGCUGGCUGGAUCCCUAUUAUGUAUAUAAAUAGUACAGCCGCCCGGCUAUAAUAGAUUUUUAAAUUUUUUUUUUUGAAAUAGUAUAGCCGCGCGGCUAUACUCGGUUUUAACCCCUUUUUUUUGUUUUUUUUAAAAUGUUCAGAACAGUACGGCCGCAUGGUUUGACACGUGGCGCCUAGGUGCUGGCUGGAUCCCUAUUAUGUAUAUAAAUAGUAUAGCCGCCCGGCUAUACUAGAUUUUCUUAAUUUUUUUUUAAAUAGUAUAGCCGCGCGGCU
rnacentral:lncRNA from 1 species